GAUGAACGCUGGCGGUAUGCUUAACACAUGCAAGUCGAACGGACUCUUAGGAUCUAGUGGCGGACGGGUGAGUAACGCGUGAGAAUUUGGCUUCAGGUCGGGGACAACAGUUGGAAACGACUGCUAAUACCGGAUGUGCCGGAAGGUGAAAGAUUUAUCGCCUGAAGAUAAGCUCGCGUCUGAUUAGCUAGUUGGUGGUGUAAGGGACUACCAAGGCGACGAUCAGUAGCUGGUCUGAGAGGAUGAUCAGCCACACUGGGACUGAGACACGGCCCAGACUCCUACGGGAGGCAGCAGUGGGGAAUUUUCCGCAAUGGGCGAAAGCCUGACGGAGCAAUACCGCGUGAGGGAGGAAGGCUCUUGGGUCGUAAACCUCUUUUCUCAAGGAAGAAGAAAGUGACGGUACUUGAGGAAUAAGCAUCGGCUAACUCCGUGCCAGCAGCCGCGGUAAUACGGAGGAUGCAAGCGUUAUCCGGAAUGAUUGGGCGUAAAGGGUCUGUAGGUGGUACUGAAAGUCUGCUGUUAAAGAGCAAGGCUCAACCUUGUAAGAGCAGUGGAAACUACAGAACUAGAGUGCGGUAGGGGCAAAAGGAAUUCCUGGUGUAGCGGUGAAAUGCGUAGAUAUCAGGAAGAACACCGGUGGCGAAAGCGUUUUGCUAGACCGCAACUGACACUGAGGGACGAAAGCUAGGGGAGCGAAUGGGAUUAGAUACCCCAGUAGUCCUAGCCGUAAACGAUGGAUACUAGGCGUGGCUUGUAUCGACCCGAGCCGUGCCGGAGCUAACGCGUUAAGUAUCCCGCCUGGGGAGUACGCACGCAAGUGUGAAACUCAAAGGAAUUGACGGGGGCCCGCACAAGCGGUGGAGUAUGUGGUUUAAUUCGAUGCAACGCGAAGAACCUUACCAAGACUUGACAUCCUGCGAAUUUUCCUGAA
rnacentral:rRNA from 1 species